ACACAUGCAAGUCGAGCGGUAACAGGAAUUAGCUUGCUAAUCCGCUGACGAGCGGCGGACGGGUGAGUAAUGCCUGGGAAUAUGCCUUAGUGUGGGGGAUAACUAUUGGAAACGAUAGCUAAUACCGCAUAAUGUCUUCGGACCAAAGAGGGGGAUCUUCGGACCUCUCGCGCUAAGAUUAGCCCAGGUGAGAUUAGCUUGUUGGUGAGGUAAGAGCUCACCAAGGCGACGAUCUCUAGCUGGUCUGAGAGGAUGAUCAGCCACACUGGAACUGAGACACGGUCCAGACUCCUACGGGAGGCAGCAGUGGGGAAUAUUGCACAAUGGGCGAAAGCCUGAUGCAGCCAUGCCGCGUGUAUGAAGAAGGCCUUCGGGUUGUAAAGUACUUUCAGUCGUGAGGAAGGGUGUGUAGUUAAUAGCUGCAUAUCUUGACGUUAGCGACAGAAGAAGCACCGGCUAACUCCGUGCCAGCAGCCGCGGUAAUACGGAGGGUGCGAGCGUUAAUCGGAAUUACUGGGCGUAAAGCGCAUGCAGGUGGUUCAUUAAGUCAGAUGUGAAAGCCCGGGGCUCAACCUCGGAACCGCAUUUGAAACUGGUGAACUAGAGUGCUGUAGAGGGGGGUAGAAUUUCAGGUGUAGCGGUGAAAUGCGUAGAGAUCUGAAGGAAUACCAGUGGCGAAAGCGGCCCCCUGGACAGACACUGACACUCAUAUGCGAAAGCGAUGGGGAGCAGACAGGAUUAGAUACCCUGGUAGUCCACGCCCUCACACGAUGUCUACUUGCACGUUGUGGUCUUGAGCCGUCGGCUUUCGGAGCUAACGCGUUAAGUAGACCGCCU
rnacentral:rRNA from 1 species